rnacentral:lncRNA from 1 species
AAUUAUCCAACUUUUCGUUAAUUUUGACAGAAUAGUCCACGUCAACUCCAAUAAAUACCUGACUGCACAUAUAAACCGCGAUUAUGAUGCAAUAGCCCUCCGUCAAACUCAAUUAAUGACUUUUUUAAGUAUCUAAAAGAUCUUGAUGGUACGCCCAGCCCGAAGCCAAAGGAUGUUGAAAGAUCUAAAAGAGGUAGCAGACAGAUUGAAAUAGUUUUAGACGGCAGAGACGACACUAGGAAUGGUGAGAUUGGACUGGAUGCAAUGGGCGGACGUGUAGAAGAAGAGGUUAAUCAGGUAAGGGAUUAAAGUGAAAAAUUGGUGAAGGUUAGGAACUAAUGGUACAAAAAUUUUUAAAGAUUUAAGGAUCUAAUUGUUAGAAAAUAUGGUUGGGGA